CGCCUGUUUAUCAAAAACAUGUCCUUUAGUGUAUUUUUGUAAGGUCUAACCUGCCCAAUGAUUAAAAAAUGUUGAAUGGCCGCGGUAUUUUAACCGUGCUAAGGUAGCAUAAUCAUUUGUCUUUUAAUUGAGGGCUAGAAUGAAUGGUUGGACGAGCCCUCAACUUUCUUUUAUUUAAUUGAAGGAAUUUAAUUUUUUAGUUAAAAAGCUAAAAUGUCUUUAUAGGACGAGAAGACCCUAUAGAUCUUUAUUAUUAUAUUAAUUUGGUAGUUUAGUUUAUAAUAUAUUUUAAUUAUUGUAAUAAUUUAAUUGGGGCGGUUGUAGAAUUUUUUUAACUUUUAUUUAUAUUUUCAUUUAUUUAUGUUUAAUUGAUCCAUUAAUAAUGAUUAUAAGAUUAAGUUACCUUAGGGAUAACAGCGUAAUUUUCUCGGAGAGUUCUUAUCGAUGAGGGAGUUUGCGACCUCGAUGUUGGAUUAAAAUAAGUUUUAGGCGUAGUAGUUUAAAGUCUUGGUCUGUUCGACCUUUAAAUUUUUACAUGAUCUGAGUUCA
rnacentral:rRNA from 1 species